GGGAAAUGGGGUGAAAAUGGGGUGAAAAUGAGGAGGAAAUGAUGGAAAAAGGGGGGUGGGGGGUGAAAAUGGGGGAGAGGAGGGGGGAUGGGGGGGAAAUGGGGAAAUUGGGGGAUCGGGGGGGAAAUGAGGAGGAAAUGGGGGGGAAAUGGGGGAGAGGAAGGGGGCUAUGGGGGAAAAUAAGGGAGAAAUGAGGAAAUGAGGGGGAAAUGGGGGAGGGGAGGGGAGGUGGGGGGGGAAGUGGGGCAUCCAGGGUGGAAAUGGGAAGGAAAUGGGGAGGAAGUGGGAAGAAAUGGGGGAGAGGAAGGGGGGCGGGGGGGGAAAUGGGGGAGAAAUGAGGAAACAGGGAGGAAAUGAGGGGGAAAUGGGGAGGGGAGGGGGGCGGGGGGGAAAUGGGGAAGUGGGGGGGUUGGGGGUAAUGAGGAGGAAAUGGGGAGGAAGUGGGGGGAAAUGGGGGAGAGGAAGGGGGGCGGGGGGGAAACGGGGCGGAAAUGAGGAGAACCGUGGCCUAAAAUGCUGAGGAAACAACAGUUGGGGGUAAAGAAUUGGCAAAUGAAUGGUUGGGGGGGGGGGUUUGCCCUAAUUUAUGUACAGCCCCCCCUCCUCUCCCCCCCCCCCCCCAAAACAGUGGGCUUUGGUCUGCCCCACCGCCCCCCCCCUGCCGCUGCUGGGCAUCUGUUGGAGGACCACCAGUUGGGGGCGCUGUUGGAACCCGCCCUCACCCGGGGACCCCGCACUGUCCUGCUGGUGCUGCACGAUGAGCUGAGCGUGGAGGACUUCACGGCGUUCGGAGGCGUCCAUGGGGACAGCGCGGACAGCGCCUUCCCGAGGCUGCAGGUGGGGGCGGGGCUUACGGCGGGGGGCGGGGCUUAGGCGGGUAGGGGGCGGGCGGAUGUGGAUGGCGGGGCCAAUGGUGUUGAGGGGGCGGGGCUUAGAAGGGCUGGGUUGUGUUAGGGGCGGGGCUAGUGGGUGAGCUGGGCCAAUGGUGUGGAGGGGUGGGGCUUGGACGGCUGGGUGCUGUUGGGGGCGGGGCGUAGGUUGGUGGGGCCAGUGUGUGGAGGGGUGGGGCUUAGAAGGGUCACGUGGUGUUAGGGGUGGGGCUAUGGCUGUGUUAAGGGCGGGGCUGAGGUGGGUGGGGCCAAUGAUAUGGAGGGGCGGGGCUAGAAGGGCUGGGGGGUGUUAAGGGUGGGGCUAAGGGUGUGUUGGGGCGGGGCUUAGGUGGGUGGGCCAAUGAUGUGGAGGGGCGGGAGUUAGAAGACCGUGUGGUUUUAGGGGCGGGGCUAGUGGGCGGGCGGAGCCAAUGGAGUGGAGGGGGCGGGGCUUUGAUAGAUCAUGUGGUGUUAGGGGCGGGGCUAUGGCUGUGUUGGGGGCGGGGCUUAGAUGGGUGGGGCAAUGGUGUUGAGGGGGCGGGGCUUUAAAGGAUUGGGUGGUGUUGGGGGCGGGGCUUUGGUGGGUGGGGCCAGUGUGUGGAGGGGGCGGGGCUUAGAAGGGCUGGGUGAUAGGGGCGGGGCUAGUGGGUCAGCUGGACCAAUGGUGUGGAGGGGGCGGGGCUUCUAAGGGCUGGGUGGUCUGUGGGCGGGGCCAAUUGGGCGGGGCUAAGGCGGUGGGGGCGGGGCUUAGAAAGGGCAGUGAAGUGGGAGACUAUUGGGUGAGUGGGGGUGAAGGGCGGGGCUAAAGGGCCAGGCUGUGAUUGGGUGGGAAAAGGGGGAGGGGCUAAGGGCAGGGCUGUGAUUGGUUGGGGAAAGGGGGAGGGGUCUGCCCCACGUUUAUGGGUCUGUGCCCCACACUUAUGGGUCUGCCCCACACUUAUUGGUCCCUAGCCCCAUCUUUGGGUGUCUGUGCCCCACACUUAUGGGUCUGCCCCACACUUAUGGGUCCCUGGCCCCGUAUUUGGGUGUCUGUGCCCCACACUUAUGGGUCUGCCCCACACUUAUGGGUCCCUGGCCCCGUAUUUGCGUGUCUGUGCCCCACACUUAUGGGUCCCUGACCCCAUCUUUGGGUGUCUGUGCCCCACAAUUAUGGGUCUGCCCCACACUUAUGGGUCUACUUGGGGCCCAUCUUUGGGUGUCUGUGCCCCACACUUAUGGGUCUGCCCCACACUAUCUCCCUCAUUAACCCCAAUUAACGCCAAUUAACCCCAUAACGACCCCAUAACAACCCCUUAACGACCCCAUAAUGCCUCAUUAACCCCAGUUAACCCAAUUAACCCCAAUUAACCCCAUAAUGACCCCAUAAUGACCCCAUAACGACCCCAUAAUGCCCUCAUUAACCCCAAUUAACCCCAAUUAACCCCAAUUAACCCCAUAAUGACCCCAUAAUUACCCCAAUUAACCCCAUAACGACCCCAUAAUGACCCCAAAAUGACCCCAUAAUGACCUCAUUAACCCCAAUUAACCCCAAUUAACCCCAAUUAACCCCAUAACGACCCCAUAACGACCCCAUAACGACCCCAUAAUGCCCUCAUUAGCCCCAAUUAACCCCAAUUAACGCCAAUUAACCCCAUAAUGACCCCCACAGUGCGCAGCGCCCAUAGAGUCCAAUGGUGGCGGAGGCGGCGCCGGAGGUAAUUAAUCGCCCUCAUUAAUUGGCCUCAUUAAUUGCCCUCCGCUUAUCUCUGCUCCUCCUUCCCAUCGCGAACGUUAAUUAAUCGGUUAUUAAUUAACUUCGGUGGUUAAUGGCAUUGGAUGGGUUAAUUGGGAUGUGGGGAUUUAGUGGGUCAUUAAUGGGUCGUUAAUGGGUAAUUAAUGGGGAUGUGGGUAAUUAAUGGGUAAUUAAUGGGGAUGUGGGUAAUUAGUGGGUGAUUAAUGGGUCAUUAAUGGGUAAUUAAUGGGGAUGGGGGUAAUUAGUGGGUGAUUAAUGGGUCAUUAAUGGGUAAUUAAUGGGGAUGUGGGUAAUUAAUGGGUAAUUAAUGGGGAUGUGGGUAAUUAGUGGGUGAUUAAUGGGUCAUUAAUGGGUAAUUAAUGGGGAUGGGGGUAAUUAGUGGGUAAUUAAUGGGUCAUUAAUGGGGAUGGGGGUAAUUAGUGGGUGAUUAAUGGGUCAUUAAUGGGUAAUUAAUGGGGAUGUGGGUAAUUAAUGGGUAAUUAAUGGGUCAUUAAUGGGGAUGGGGGUAAUUAGGGGGUGAUUAAUGGGUCAUUAAUGGGGAAUUAAUGGGGAUGGGGGUAAUUAGUGGGGGUAAUUAGGGAGGAUGGGGGGAAUUAGUGGGUAAUUAAUGGGUAAUUAAUGGGGAAUUAAUGGGGAUGUGGUUAAUUAGGGGGCAGUUAAUGGAGAUGUGGGUAAUUAAUGGGGAUUAAUGGGUAAUUGAUGGGUAAUUAAUGGGUGAUUAAUGGGGAUGUGGGUAAUUAAUGGGUAAUUAAGGGGUAAUUAAUAGAUAUUUAAUGGGUAAUUAAUGGGGAUGUGGGUAAUUAAUGGGUAAUUAAUGGAUAUUUAAUGGGUAAUUAUUGGGGAUGGGAGUAAUUAGUGGGUAAUUAAUGGGUCAUUAAUGGGAAUGUGGGUAAUUAGGGGAUACUUAAUGGGGAGGGGAGUAAUUAGUGGGUAAUUAAUGGAUAAUUAAUGGGGUUGGGGGUAAUUAGGGGGUGAUUAAUGGGUCAUUAAUGGGGAUGGGGGUAAUUAAUGGGGAAUUAAUGGGGAUAAUUAGCUUAAUUAAUGAGGGGGCAACGACCGCCGUGCUCUGAUUGGCUCUCCGCGUGGGGCCUUAAUGACCUUAACGAGCCAAUUAAGCGCGACCGGAAGUGGGAGGGGGAGGGGGGGGGUAGGGGGGGGGGGGGGUCGUUAAUGAGGGGUUAAUGAGGGUAAUGAAGGGCUGUCAUUAAUUAAUUAACCCCCCUCAGGGCCGUCCGCCCCCCCCGGCAGCUCCUGGAGGCGCUCAAUGGGGCCGCCCUGGAAGCGGCCGCAGCUCUG
rnacentral:lncRNA from 7 species